UCCGAAUUGGCACCCGCUGCUGCAUUUACCUCUGCUGGUUUUGGCCAACGACAUUUCUUAUCUGCAUGUCCCAAUUACACAACAAAACGUGUUUACAUACCGAUGCGCCUCAUAUUCGAUAGCCUACACCCCCGCGCAAGCGCCCACCACUGUUCUUAUGUGCAGUCACUGGAUUCAGACUGCACGGGUGUGAAAGGAGAUGCAAUGAUGGCUACCGCUGCAGAAGAACUAUGCCAAUCCCCUUGUCCCAUUUCUGAGCGCAAUGUCACGACAGUUUCCAUCAAAAUUACGAGGAAAAACCAGGAUAAACCCUGGAAAUUGAGAUUAAUUUACCUGCAGUGUUAUUGUAUGUCAAUUGCAACCAUACUGGGAACUGGAAUCUUAGGACUUCCUGUCACAAUAGCACAUGCUGGACUUGUGCCUUUCCUGGUCUCCUUUAUAAUUGGUUUCUUUGUGCAGGCUCUCCUCAUAUACCUAUUUGUUGACCUACUCCAGCGAUGCGAAGUUGCCCAAAUUGAGUCACUAAAGAGCACAGAGACUGAGCGGAUUUUAUUACAAGACAUUGGGUUGGAGGAGCCUGCUGUCACUAACACAGAAGAGGAUGAUGAUGAAGGUGACGAAGCAGACACUGGCCUACUGCAGAAGGACGCAGCCAGCUGCCAGACACCGGAGGAGAAGCUGCACCCUAAUCUCCAUGUGUUGGGAGUCCUCUUCCUCAGCAAGCCCAUGAGCCAUGCCUUCAACUUCAUCCUGCUCUUCCAGUUUGUGUCAAUUGGGAUCAGCUAUGUCCUGGCUGGCAGUGAGGCCUACGCUGUGAUUCUAGAUCUGAGCCAUAUCUACGUCAUUCCUGCCUUUACCUGGACACUCUCUCUUACAAUCCUGUUGGCUCAGAUUGUCAUUCAGCCAAUCACAUCGCUGCUGACCCUUCUGAAAGGCAUCAUGCUGAUCAUCACAGUAGCCGUGACAUUUGCUGUGGGGUCAGAGGUUCAACAGGCGACCACGAAUGACUUCAGCCAAAUUGGGAAGCCUUUCCUAAUGGGCACGGUUGCACUGGGGGGGAUUGUCAAUGUGAUGCCUCUCCUGUUUUCAGAAAUAUCCCAGAACAAGACACAGAUCAUGUGGUUCAGAAGAGUCAUAUUGGGAGGACUUGCCACAUGCGCAGUUCUGAAUAUAUUGUGGCAGUUAUCCCAGUCGGUGGGUCUGUCCAAACUUCACAGGCCUGGAACCAGCACCCACUCCUGUACCUGCUGACUAGAUGUCUGCUCUCCAUGACAGAUGGUAUGAGUACAAUCCAGUUGUCCCAAAACGGUACGCUCCAGUAAGCCUGGAACCGCUUUGGACCACAGACAAGAAUAAACCUAGUAAUAUGACAGUCAGUCUCCUGGUGUUUUCAACAAUGUAAAUGUUUCCAGUUGCAACAUUGGACCAGACAAAGCAGAAAGGAGUGAGGUUUCAGACUGGUACUGGAGUGUGCCACUGAGGGCUCCCUGCGUGUUGUUUGUCUUUGAUGUCUCUCUUACUAAAGGACUGCCAACAUUAUUAUUUUUUUUUAGAAAAAGGCCUCUGUUGUAUCUAAUCAUCUGUAAAAAACCUAUUGAGUUUGCAAUCAGUGGUUUUUUACUCGAGAGUGAAAGCAAUUAUGUUGAAGCAGAUGAAACGAAAAGAGUUUGAUCCAGGAGAUGAAAUCUCCCAUCAGCCACUGGAGCUAGGCUGCUGAUUCGCUUGCAGUAGACUUUUCCUGACUAACCCGUCAUUUAUCAUCCUUCACCACCAUAGCCCCUGCCUGCUCCUCUGAAGAGCACAGCUUAUCC
rnacentral:lncRNA from 1 species